UUAAAGAAUCUGACUUUUGUCUUUAUGGCUAAAGAAGCAGUGCUGUAUCCCACGGUAGUACAAAGGGCAAAAGAUGAGUGCCAGCCCGGCUGGAGGCUGACAGGCUUCCAAGAACCUGAAUCCCCUCUUGGACUCCUGGCUUGCUUUUGGCUACAGAAUCAUCUUCUGCAUCUGGAGAUUUCCACUGGGACUUUCUGGAGGCAGACAAAUCCUGCCCUGAUUCUGGGGACCAUGCCUGUGGAGAUGCACAGUUCUACCAUUCAAAGUGACUAUCUGAAAAUACCUCCUAAGAAGGACAAAACUUUUCUUCAGCUAAGAGGGCGCUUGUUAAUAUGAUUAGAUACAUAUGUAAUGGUGUCCCCCUCCCCUCUUAGCCCCUCAGUGUGUCCCCCUCCCCUCUUAGCCCCUCAGUUCUUUCAGUCAGUGUAUCUACAUGCAGGAGAUGUUAAAGGAUGGAUGUAACUUCAGACCUUCAUUUCCCCAUAAGUAUUGCUUUCAGAAAAUAUCUAAUGAAGUCACAUGGAUGAAGAUUUCUGUAUCAUUUGUUUCCCAGAAUGGCUCUCCAACUUACAUUUCAUCAUCCACCCACAUAUCCAUUUAUCCAUUCAACCUUCAUGUACUGACUGAAAACUCCUCUCAUGUAGUUUUCCUCAGCAGUUUCCUCUUCUGGGGAUUUUCUGCUGUUUUGGUAACCUGUUUUAAUGUUGUAUUUUAUGUGUUCCUAAAGGCAAUGCAAGUUGUUUAAAGAGGCAAUUAUCUCAUGUGAUUUAUGAGAUUUGCUGGACAAAUUCCAAUAAAAAAUGUAC
rnacentral:antisense_RNA from 1 species